GGGGACGCGUGGUUUCGACGGGGGAUAUUGCUACUCGAUUGCAGGUCGAGGUGCCGUCACGCCUCGUUAAACAGGCGGCAAAAUAAUAACUGGCAAAAACCAGCUAGCUUUAGCCGCUUAAGGCGGCUACGUUUAUCGUAGCCUAGUCCUUGAGGGUUGCGAAUAAGCGACACACUAUCGAGGAUGCAGCUUUUCAGAAGCCGAUAAGAAGAGAAUAAGUUAAUCGGCUAGCUUGCCAAGCCGUUUGUCGGCGCAGGGCCGGCGAGUGAAAAUAUAAAGCACCGACUAAACCUGUAGUAUAUCCUGAUAGCUAGUCUUUCGGACAGGGGGUUCGACUCCCCCUCGUCUCCACCA
rnacentral:tmRNA from 1 species